AUUGGAAUGCUGGGAAUUGUAGUUCUUGGAAAAUAAAAAUCCCUUCAACACAUGGCUUGAGGCCAUCACAGCUGGGAAAUUCCAGGGAAUGAUCCUGACCAAAGUCCAUCUCUUGGUCAGAAUCUAACAUUUAAUAAAGCUUGUUUCACAUUUGGCCCAAGAUGGUGGAAUUGGCAUUUCUCUGGAGAAUCUCAGGAUUAAUGGGAUCCGCGGUGGCCCAGUCUCACCAAAAUAAAGAACGACACAGCACAAACCUCUCACACACUGUGGCAGUUGUUUCCUGCUUCGUAAAUGGGAUUCCAGAACUUUCCAAUGCCUGUUACACUUUGGAAAUGGGUAGCCUGCUAUGGCCGGACAAGAAGGUCAGUUCGAUUACUCAUGUUCGAUAAACAUUUUUGAAUUUGGGCUUCUGUGCCUUUAAAAAGUGUGCUUACCUUCAAAUUAGUUUUGGUUUAUAGACGCCUCCUCGGAAGGAGUGCUUGAGAAGAAAGGAACCCUUUCAAAAAGUCCUCAGGAAAUAUAUGAAAAGAUUCUUUGAAAGCCCUGCACUGCACUGGAAACUGCCUUCCAACAGCUGCUGUUGGCGACAGGACUCAGUUUGAAUGAAUUGAAC
rnacentral:lncRNA from 1 species